GAUCACCUGGCGAUUUGUAUACGCGAUGCCACGUAACAGUGACAGUUCUUCCUCAGAAUCAGAAUCGAAAGAAAUGGAUUUGAAGAAAAUGCUUCAGGACAUUAACUUAUCGGAAGAGUCCAAGGAAACUCAACGAGCUAUAGCACAUUACCACAUUACGCAGAUGGGUAAG